GACGAACGCUGGCGGCGUGCUUAACACAUGCAAGUCGAACGGAAAGGCCCUGCUUUUGUGGGGUGCUCGAGUGGCGAACGGGUGAGUAACACGUGAGUAACCUGCCCUUGACUUUGGGAUAACUUCAGGAAACUGGGGCUACUACCGGAUAGGAGCUCCUGCUGCAUGGUGGGGGUUGGAACGUUUCGGCGGUUGGGGAUGGACUCGCGGCUUAUCAGCUUGUUGGUGGGGUAGUGGCUUACCAAGGCUUUGACGGGUAGCCGGCCUGAGAGGGUGACCGGGCACAAUGGGACUGAGAUACGGACCAGACUCCUACGGGAGGCAGCAGUGGGGAAUAUUGCACAAUGGGCGGAAGCCUGAUGCAGCAACGCCGCGUGCGGGAUGACGGCCUUCGGGUUGUAAACCGCUUUCGCCUGUGACGAAGCGUGAGUGACGGUAAUGGGUAAAGAAGCACCGGCUAACUACGUG
rnacentral:rRNA from 1 species